rnacentral:rRNA from 1 species
AUGACGGACAACCUAAGGCCUACUCGUCUGGAGGACACUGAUGUUGCAAACGCGGUGCUGGACGGUAGCGAUGCCAUUCUCCUUGGUGCUGAGACUCUCCGUGGGUUGUAUCCAGUUGAGACUAUUUCAACAGUAGGCAGAAUUUGUGCUGAGGCUGGGAAGGUCUUCAACCAGGAUUUGUACUUCAAGAGAACCAUGAAAUACAUGGGAGAACCCAUGACCCACUUGGAGCCUAUUGCUUCCUCUGCAGUGCGGGCUGCUAUUAAAGUUAAGGCUUCGGUCAUCAUUUGCUUCACCUCAUCUGGAUGGGAGAAAAAGAGUAUUUCUUCUUAUAGGCGCUUCACCUCAUCUUGUAGUUUAAUAGAAAUUGAUUCAUAUAUUAUGCUGUAUCGAGUAUCUGCAGGCUAA